GGAGAGAUGUCCGAGCGGUUUAAGGAGCUAGUCUUGAAAACUAGUGACUCGCAAGAGCCAAGGGUUCGAAUCCCUUUCUCUCCGCCA
rnacentral:tRNA from 1 species